CCUACGGGAGGCUGCAGUGGGGAAUAUUGCACAAUGGGGGAAACUCUGAUGCAGCGACGCCGCGUGAGUGAAGAAGUAUCUCGGUAUGUUAAGCUCUAUCUGCAGGGAAGUAGAAAAACGGUACCUGACUCAGAAGCACCGGCUAACUACGUGCCAGCAGCCGCGGUAAUACGGAGGGGGCAAGCGUUAUCCGGAUUUACUGGGUGUAAAGGGAGCGUAGACGGCUGUGCAAGUCUGAAGUGAAAGUCCAGGGCUCAACCGUGGGACUGCAUUGGAAACUGUGGCGCUAGAGUGCUGGAGAGGUAAGUGGAAUUCCUAGUGUAGCGGUGAAAUGCGUAGAUAUCAGGAGGAACUCCGGUGGCGAAGGCAGCCUGCUGGACUGCAACUGACGUUGAGGCCCGAAAGUGUGGGGAGCAAACAGGAUUAGAUACCCCAGUAGUC
rnacentral:rRNA from 1 species